rnacentral:rRNA from 1 species
UACGUAGGUGACAAGCGUUGUCCGGAUUUACUGGGCGUAAAGGGCUCGUAGGCGGCCAACUAAGUCAGACGUGAAAUCCCCAGGCUCAACCUGGGAACUGCGUCCGAUACUGGAUGGCUUGAAUCCGGGAGAGGGAUGCAGAAUUCCAGGUGUAGCGGUGAAAUGCGUAGAUAUCUGGAGGAAUACCGGUGGCGAAGGCGGCAUCCUGGACCGGCAUUGACGCUGAGGAGCGAAAGCUAGGGGAGCAAACGGG